rnacentral:rRNA from 1 species
AUUGAACGCUGGCGGCAGGCCUAACACAUGCAAGUCGAACGAGUGGCGGACGGGUGAGUAAUGUCUGGGAAACUGCCUGAUGGUGGGGGAUAACUACUUGACACGGUAGCUAAUACCGCAUACCAUCGGAUGUGCCCAGGUUGGAUUAGCUAGUAGGUGGGGUAACGGCUCACCUAGGCGACGAUCCGUACCUGGUCUGAGAGGAUGAGCAGUCACACUGUAACUGAGACACGGUCCAGUCGCCUACGGGAGGCAGCAGUGGGGUAUAUUGGACAAUGGGCGAAAGCCUGAUCCAGCCAUGCCGCGUGUGUGAAGAAGGUCUUCGGAUUGUAAAGCACUUUAAGUUGGGAAGCGUUAACAACAGAAUAAGCACCGGCUAACUUCGUGCCAGCAGCCGCGGUAAUUG